rfam:Triticum aestivum genome assembly, contig: Triticum_aestivum_CS42_TGACv1_scaffold_131315_2BL
GUAGUAUUCCCUCCGUCCCAAAAUUAUUGUCUUACAUUUGUUUAGAUACAGAUGUAUCUAACACUAAAAUGUAACUAGAUACAUCCGUAUUUAGACAAAUUUCAGACAAGAAUUUUGGGACGGAGGGAGUACAAA